rnacentral:rRNA from 1 species
UACGGUGAGGGUGCGAGCGAUUAAUCGAAUCUGGGCGUAAAGCGUGCGCAGGCGGUUCGUUGUGUCGGCGGUGAAAGCCCCGGGCUCAACCUGGGAAUGGCCGUUGAAACUGGCGAACUGGAGUGUGGCAGAGGGGGGUGGAAUUCCGCGUGUAGCAGUGAAAUGCGUAGAGAUGCGGAGGAACACCGAUGGCGAAGGCAGCCCCCUGGGCUGACACUGACGCUCAGGCACGAAAGCGUGGGGAGCAAACAGG